GAUGAACGCUGGCGGUAUGCUUAACACAUGCAAGUCGAACGGUCCUUUCGGGAUAGUGGCGGACGGGUGAGUAACGCGUGAGAAUCUGCCUUCAGGACGGGGACAACAGCUGGAAACGGCUGCUAAAACCCGAUGUGCCUACGGGUGAAAUAUUUAUAGCCUGAAGAGGAGCUCGCGUCUGAUUAGCUAGUUGGUAGGGUAACGGCUUACCAAGGCGACGAUCAGUAACUGGUCUGAGAGGAUGACCAGUCACACUGGGACCGAGACACGGCCCAGACUCCUACGGGAGGCAGCAGUGGGGAAUUUUCCGCAAUGGGCGCAAGCCUGACGGAGCAAUACCGCGUGAGGGAGGAAGGCUCUUGGGUCGUAAACCUCUUUUAUCAGGGAAGAACACAAUGACGGUACCUGAUGAAUCAGCAUCGGCUAACUCCGUGCCAGCAGCCGCGGUAAUACGGAGGAUGCAAGCGUUAUCCGGAAUUAUUGGGCGUAAAGCGUCCGCAGGUGGUUUUGAAAGUUUGCUGUUAAAGCGCGAGGCUCCACUUCGUAACGGCGGUGAAAACUUCAAGACUAGAGUUUGGUAGGGGUCACGGGAAUUCCCAGUGUAGCGGUGAAAUGCGUAGAUAUUGGGAGAACACCAGCGGCGAAAGCGCGUGACUGGGCCUGAACUGACACUCAUGGACGAAAGCUAGGGGAGCGAAAGGGAUUAGAUACCCCUGUAGUCCUAGCCGUAAACGAUGACAACUAGGUGUUGCCCG
rnacentral:rRNA from 1 species